AGUGAACGCUGGCGGUAUGCCUAACACAUGCAAGUCGAACGGCAGCACAGUAAGAGCUUGCUCUUACGGGUGGCGAGUGGCGGACGGGUGAGGAAUACAUCGGAAUCUACUUUUUCGUGGGGGAUAACGUAGGGAAACUUACGCUAAUACCGCAUACGACCUACGGGUGAAAGCAGGGGAUCUUCGGACCUUUCGCGAUUGAAUGAGCCGAUGUCGGAUUAGCUAGUUGGCGGGGUAAAGGCCCACCAAGGCGACGAUCCGUAGCUGGUCUGAGAGGGUGAUCAGCCACACUGGAACUGAGACACGGUCCAGACUCCUACGGGAGGCAGCAGUGGGGAAUAUUGGACAAUGGGCGCAAGCCUGAUCCAGCCAUACCGCGUGGGUGAAGAAGGCCUUCGGGUUGUAAAGCCCUUUUGUUGGGAAAGAAAAGCAGCAGGUUAAUACCCCGCUGUUCUGACGGUACCCAAAGAAUAAGCACCGGCUAACUUCGUG
rnacentral:rRNA from 1 species